AGGGGAAAAUAGGUCAUGGAGGAGGAGUGACUUCACCAACAUCACUCAUAGGUGCUUGUGUCCGUGGUGAGAAAGGGAGAUGGAGAGAAGUGGCUGCAGUCCCCACCCAUGGAGAGGUCACUGGUGAGUCCCAGCUAAAGAGGAAGGACAGGCCCGGCCUGAGUCCCACAGGCUUACCAUCUGAGUCCUUCUGAUUGGGAUUGGGUACCAGGCGGCAGUUAUCAGGACCAGGAGGCACGUAAUCUGGGAUGCCAUCAUUGUCAUCAUCCCCAUCACACUCAUCUCCAAGUCCAUCGUUGUCUGAGUCCAGCUGGGAGCUAUUUGGCAGCUGUGGGCAGUUGUCCUUGGUGUCCUGAUGCCCAUCCCCAUCACUAAUCAGAAGAACAGGUUGGUGAAAGUCCUGAACUUUGUCUCCCCACCUAGAGGACAACUGGUCAGGAAAUCUGCCUGUUUCUUGUCUUACCUUCUAGUCCACACUCUGCCCAACGCUACGCCCUGCCUCACAUUCCCAUUGACAUCUGCUGCAGGUAGUCUCUCCUCACCCAGGCCAGCGUCCACAAGCCUGCCUCCCCAGUUCACAGAGAUGUUCUAGCUUCCCUUCUUCAUCCCUACCUGAUCCAAAUUCUUACAGGUCCCCCAGCCACCCCUUCAGCCCCAGGCCUGCACCAUCCCCAUCCACGUCGUUGUCACAGGCAUCUCCUUCCCCAUUGCCAUCUGUGUCCUUCUGGUCAUUGUUGGGAACGUUGGGGCAAUUGUCACAGGCAUCACCAAAUGAAUCUGUA